rnacentral:rRNA from 1 species
GACGGAGGGUGCUAGCGUUGUUCGGAAUCACUGGGCGUAAAGGGCGCGUAGGCGGCGCCGGCAGUCGGCCGUGAAAGCCCGGGGCUCAACCCCGGAGGUGCGGCCGAGACGCCGGUGCUGGAGGCCGGAAGAGGAGGGUGGAAUACCCAGUGUAGAGGUGAAAUUCGUAGAUAUUGGGUGGAACACCGGUGGCGAAAGCGGCUCUCUGGUCCGGACCUGACGCUGAGGCGCGAAAGCUUGGCGAGCAAACAGG